AGGCAGCAUAUAAUUAGCAACCCAUCAUAUAUUUUCAGAAGAUGGUCAUGACUCGAAUAUUUUUCCUCGUGUGGAAAAGAAAUCUACCAAAAUUUGGAAUUUGACAGUAUUCUAUGAAGUCUUUGGAGCAGAAUGCUGCAACUAACUUGUUGCUCAUGACAACUGUCCUUAAGGAUGGGAAUCGCUUCCUCUCUUGCCGCUCCUUGACACAACUUGCACAGGAGGAAUGCAAAGGAUGGGUGGGAUCUUCCCCAACAGGAGAGUGCAAGGAAGUGACAUACCAGAGAGAUGACGGCACAAGCAAGGCUGCAGCUGCUCCUUCCACCUCCACCCUGUGGGACAACUGCUGAGCAAGAUUUCAAAGGCAAAAGCAACCUACAGGAAAGAAGGAAAAAAAAUGCAUUUAACAACUUCCUUGACUGGUGGUCUGGAUAAGAGUGCAGCACAUUGUAAAGUUGCAUUGAUGGUAGAAAUAUAGGUGGCUUUAUAGACACCUGUGCUUGGAGUUCACAGAGCCCCUGAACAUUCACACAUGAAACAUGGUAAGUUUUCCUGGGCAUUUGGCAAGAAAUGUGAAAACUGAUGCUAUUUGAACGUGUUUGUCUCUCCCAUGUAUACCAUCAGUGCCAGCUUUACCAGAAAGCUAUAACUGGGAAUCAUGUCCAGAAUUCCCUCUGUCAUUCUCCACUAGCAGUGCUUGAAAGGACAGUGUCCUCUUGCUGAACUUUUGUUAAUUGUUAAUCUCGGAAAAAUACAUUCCCUUUCAGGACAUGUCGCAUGUGAAGAGAAAUUGAGCUUAAAUAUGAGCAGGGACAGGGAAUCAUAGAUCAAUGGCUGAGAAAAUUUAAGUAAGUAGGAAUAAAUUUAAGAGAUUGAUUGUGCAACAUGAUGACUAUAGUUAAUAACAAAAUAUCGCAUAUUUGAAAAUUACUAAAAGAGAUUUUAUGUUCUUCAAAUAUAACUACAUGAGAUAAAGCAUAUAUUAAUUAGUUCAAUUCUGUCAUCCUACAAUGUUUCAAAACAUUAUGUUGUGCACCUGAA